rnacentral:rRNA from 1 species
UACAGAGGUCUCAAGCGUUGUUCGGAUUCAUUGGGCGUAAAGGGUGCGUAGGUGGCGCCGUAAGUCAGGUGUGAAAUUUCGGAGCUUAACUCCGAAACUGCAUUUGAUACUGCGGUGCUUGAGGACUGGAGAGGAGACUGGAAUUUACGGUGUAGCAGUGAAAUGCGUAGAGAUCGUAAGGAAGACAGUGGCGAAGGCGGGUCUCUGGACAGUUCCUGACACUGAGGCACGAAGGCCAGGGGAGCAAA